rnacentral:rRNA from 1 species
UACGAAGGGGGCUAGCGUUGCUCGGAAUCACUGGGCGUAAAGGGUGCGUAGGCGGGGCUUUAAGUCAGAGGUGAAAUCCUGGAGCUCAACUCCAGAACUGCCUUUGAUACUGAGGAUCUUGAGUACGGGAGAGGUGAGUGGAACUGCGAGUGUAGAGGUGAAAUUCGUAGAUAUUCGCAAGAACACCAGUGGCGAAGGCGGCUCACUGGCCCGUUACUGACGCUGAGGCACGAAAGCGUGGGGAGCAAACAGG